AUCAAGCGAGUGUUAGACUUAACAGACUUUGCUGCGGUUAUCUGUCGAUGCUUGGUUCGUUGAGUCACUCACAGUGCAGUUCUGACGAUGAAGAGGUUUCAAACGAUGAUGAUCUGUGUCGUGGUGUAUCUCUUGGUGGCAGUCCACCCGGCAGCUUCAUCUGCUUCUCCCAAGGCACCGACACUGACCUGCCCUGCUGACGUCAUAAUGGAAGGCUCGCACAUCAACUGCACGUGCAGCACAAGCCAUGUAGGAGAGCCACAAGGUCGUCUGCUUUUAUUUUAUAAUGGCCGGCUACAACACACGGGACAGUACGGUCAGAAGGUCAUCUUCUUGUCACGUGACAUUCGCCGUGAGGACAACAAUGCCAGAGUCAGCUGUCUUCUACACUGGGCGACAAACAUGUCUGCUGACAGAGACUGGACACUCCGCGUAAUGUAUCCCCCUGGGAUGCCUUCCUUACGAAUCAACAGACAAACUACCGUCAACUACACCACGAAUGUCAACAACAGUGUUGACUUUACAUGCCGAGUCAGUCCAAGCAAUGUAGAGAGCCUGGAACUGCUGAAGGUCACAAGAAAUGGUUUACAAAUACUUUCAGGACUCAGCAAAUCUUAUCUCUCCUUCAGAAUAGAGAAAGCAGGAUGUGGUGACUCGGGUAUCUACUAUUGUCGGGCUGGCAACACAGUGGGACAAACUAACUCCACAUCAGUGCAGCUCAGUGUGUUGUGUUCGCCAGAGUGGGCCAGCGACACCUUAGCAACAACCACGGAACUAAAGGUCACGGAAGGGUUAGAAGGACAGACAACCUUUGAAGUCAUGGCCUCCCCAGUUCCUACUAUCGACGGUUUUAUUUCUCACCAAGAGGACAGUAAUUCUUCUUCUCAGGAGAAGCUAGUCGAUCAGAUCCGAUCUUUUUACUGGGAAAUGCGAGCAGAAGACACCGGACCUUCCCCUGGCUACCUGCACUGUGUAUGUUACACAAGCCACGCCUACAGAUACCGGACUGUACAGUGUCCACGUCAGCAACUCAAUGGGCGCCAUGACUGUCACCUUUGAACUCCGUGUGACAGCGUGCAGAGACAACCUGACUGACUGUCCCAGUCUCGCCAGCCACUGUGGUGAACAGUUUGUAGAAGAAUUUUGCUGGAAGACAUGCUCAGGGUGUCGUAAACAAACAAGCAAUCAAACAAGUAUUUAAUAGAAAUGUCUCUCUCUCUAUUGUUCUCUCCGGUGUAUGUAUCGCAUGUUCUAUCCUCUUGACGAUGCACGAUAGUUGGUGUUGUCCAUUCAGACUUUACACUAACGAAGGCGACCUUGCGACUUCUAUAAUUCUCUCUGUUCCUGUCUUACUUUGAACCUAAAUGAUUUCUAAAUACCUCUCGACUUAAUUAAUAAACGCACGUCUAGUCCUUGUUUUAAGAAAGCAAGUUAAGAUUUCACCUCAUUUUUCCAUUGACCAUUACAAAGAUAAUUAUAAAAAAAUACAUAUACAUUACCUUGUCUAGGCCAGGACUCACACGCAUUUCCAGUCUCUUUCCCUCAGAAACGUUUCACAGCGUCUUUCACGUACUCGAUAUUUCGUGUAAAAGGCGAGAUUUCUGAGAAGAUAUUUGUGAGCAGAGGUCUGAAGCUUUCGGUGGUUGUUAACGAUUGGUUUUACCUUCGAAUUUGUAUAUUUGUUUAUUCAAGCGACGUGUCUUAGACCUCCAUCAGUAUUGGUGAUGAUCUGUCGACCUCCCACUAAGGUACUGUAAGUGAAAACUUCAUACAGAGACCUACCUCAAAAGAUGGAACAAACUACAGACUAAAAGACUUACAGAACCUGAUACAGUUGCAUGGUGUAGUCCACAGUCAAGUUUUUAUAAAAAGCUUGUAGGAGACGGCUGAUGUCACAGUGACUAAAGCAUCUGUCACCUCCACAGUGAUUGCUGGAGUGUCUUGGAUUCGGAUCUUGGUUCCAGUCUCUUUCUGUGCGUUCAUGCGUGCGUGCCUGUGUGUGCUAUUGAUUUCAUAGCAAUUGUUUUGAUUUUGUGAUUAACCAUAACCAACAUGCAGUACACGUUGAUGAGCUGUUAGCCCUCAAUCACGCGUUACAUAACAUAACAAAAAACAAUUUUUUACUAUUACAAUGGGUUGUUUUAAGAGAUUAUUUACAGACAAACUGCUGCCCGUCUUUACGGUGUGAAUGUUGCACAACAUCAGUAGCUGCUGACAGUGACCUCAUGUCUACACGGUCUACACAACGUCACGUGACUUAUGAGAGGUCGCAGCAGCCGAGAGAAGAGGCUCUUUGCACACCACACUCUGAGAGAUGAGUCACCCGACUGUCUGCCACCUUGAUUUUGAUAAAAACGUUUUUUCAGUUUAAAAGCAGUCGUCAUUGUGAUAUUGUUUCCCUGAGUAGAUGUUAAAUUUGUAAUAUUUAAAAACAAGUGGCGUGUACUCUUUGUUUGUAUUUCAAGAACAAUACAAAAUAUUGCUGAAAACUAUUUUUUACAAAGUGAAAAUAUCGCAUAAUGAACUCUAGGAACUAAAACAAUUUAAAGUGAAACACAUUUCAUUUUUUUGUCUUUAACGUCAAACCUGAUGCAAGUUGUUUGGGGCAAUGAUAAUGAGAGAACUGAACAACU